UGCGAAAGCGUCGCAAGUGAACUAGGCAAAGUGAGGAAGCAAUAUUGGAUGAGCAAACAAGGAUGUUUGCGAAAGCCUGAACCGUAACAGGAUGUGAGUUGAAGGCGGUCCAAUAUUGCCCGAAACGAGCCUUUAGUUCACUCGACGCGAAGCAC
rfam:Pelotomaculum thermopropionicum MPI_scaffold_6035, whole genome shotgun sequence.